rnacentral:rRNA from 1 species
UACGUAGGCAGCAAGCGUUGUCCGGAUUUAUUGGGCGUAAAGAGCGUGUAGGCGGCCAGGUAGGUCCGUUGUGAAAACUCGAGGCUCAACCUCGAGACGCCGAUGGAAACCAUCUGGCUAGAGUCCGGAGGAGGAGAGUGGAAUUCCCGGUGUAGCGGUGAAAUGCGCAGAUAUCGGGAAGAACACCCGUGGCUAAGGCGGCUCUCUAGUACGGUACUGACGCUGAGACGCGAAAGCGUGGGGAGCGAACAGG